CCUACGGGAGGCAGCAGUGGGGAAUCUUGCGCAAUGGGCGAAAGCCUGACGCAGCCAUGCCGCGUGAAUGAUGAAGGUCUUAGGAUUGUAAAAUUCUUUCAGUAGGGACGAUAAUGACGGUACCUACAGAAGAAGCCCCGGCUAACUUCGUGCCAGCAGCCGCGGUAAUACGAAGGGGGCUAGCGUUGCUCGGAAUUACUGGGCGUAAAGGGAGCGUAGGCGGGUUAUCAAGUUGGAGGUGAAAGCCCAGGGCUCAACCUCGGAAUUGCCUUCAAAACUGAUAGCCUAGAGUAUGAUAGAGGUAUGUGGAACUCCGAGUGUAGAGGUGAAAUUCGUAGAUAUUCGGAAGAACACCAGUGGCGAAGGCGACAUACUGGGUCAUGACUGACGCUGAGGCUCGAAAGCUGGGGAGCAAACAGGAUUAGAUACCCUGGUAGUCCACGCUGUAAACGAUGAUUGCUAGUUGUCGGACGGCANGCGUCGUGACGCNGCUACGCAUAGACACGACCGCCGUCGGGAGGUACGGUCGCGAGAAGUUAAACGUUAAAGUAAAGUUAGUUACGGUACGUUGAGACGUUGCCGACGGACGACGACGAGGGAGGAGG
rnacentral:rRNA from 1 species